GUUAAAGCAAUGAGAGGAAUUAGUAACAAGAGGUUCGUUCUAAAGAGAGCCGGUGGCUGGUGUAAACCGGUGAAUGACACUUGUGAAUCCAUCCUUGAGUAAAGUACGGAAUACUCCGGUUUUAGGAGUUAGUAAGUACUUUCGGUAUUAAACCGUUAUUUUUAAUGAGGUGGACAGCAGCUGUUGUCAACCAGGGUGGUAACGCGGGUAACUCUCGUCCCUGUU
rnacentral:ncRNA from 1 species